AGUGAACGCUGGCGGUAGGCCUAACACAUGCAAGUCGAACGGCAGCACAGUAAGAGCUUGCUCUUACGGGUGGCGAGUGGCGGACGGGUGAGGAAUACAUCGGAAUCUACUUUUUCGUGGGGGAUAACGUAGGGAAACUUACGCUAAUACAGCAUACGACCUACGGGUGAAAGCAGGGGAUCUUCGGACCUUGCGCGAUUGUAUGAGCCGAUGUCGGAUUAGCUAGUUGGCGGGGUAAAGGCCCACCAAGGCGACGAUCCGUAGCUGGUCUGAGAGGAUGAUCAGCCACACUGGAACUGAGACACGGUCCAGACUCCUACGGGAGGCAGCAGUGGGGAAUAUUGGACAAUGGGCGCAAGCCUGAUCCAGCCAUACCGCGUGGGUGAAGAAGGCCUUCUGGUUGUAAAGCCCUGUUGUUGGGAAAGAAAAGCAGCAGGUUAAUACCCCGCUGUUCUGACGGUACCCAAAGAAUAAGCGCCGGCUAACUUCGUG
rnacentral:rRNA from 1 species